GAGGCCAUGGCACAGAGGCCAUGCCUCCAUCACUAGGUUCAGAGGACAUACCUCUCUAAAUUAUGACUGUAGGUACAGCGGACAUGCGUCCUUCACUAGGACUGACAGGUACAGAGGACACACCUCCUUCACUAGGACUGACAGGUACAGAGGACACACCUCCUUCACUAGGACUGACAGGUACAGAGGACAUGCCUCCUUCAAUCGGACGGACAGAUACAGAGGACACACCUCCUUCACUAGGACGGACACAUACAGAGGACACGCCUCCUUCACUAGGACGGACAGAUACAGAGGACACACCUUCACUAAGACUGACAGGUACAGAGGACACACCUCCUUCAAUAGGACAGACAGAUACAGAGGACACACCUCCUUCACUAGGACGGACACAUACAGAGGACACGCCUCCUUCACUAGGACGGACAGAUACAGAGGACACACCUCCUUCACUAAGACUGACAGGUACAGAGGACACACCUCCUUCACUAAGACUGACAGGUACAGAGGACACACCUCCUUCACUAUACCUGAAAGGUACAGAUGACACGCCUCCUUAACUAGGACUGACAGGUACAGAGGACAUGCCUCUCUCACUUUGACUGACAGGUACAGAGGACACACCUCCUUCGCUAGGACUGACAGGUACAGACAUAUAGGCCACACCUCCUUCACUGUACAGGACAGCUGUAAGGCCAUGCCCCCUUUGUGGGACUGACAGACAUUUAGGCCACACCUCUUUCACAGUUGACAGAUAUAUAGACCAUGCCUUUUUAAGUGGGCUGAAUCAGUUUUUAUACUCCUACUAUAAAAUGUUUGAUCACCACAAGAACAAUGAUACAGUUUUGUUUGUGUGUGUGUGUGUGUGUGUGUGUGUGUGUGUGUGUGUGGGGCAGAAAGCGAAUUAUGAACUCAUGUCUUCCUGAAUGCUUGUGAAAUGACUCGCAGUCACAGUGUGAAUGUCUAAACAAAGAGUGUAUUGAUGUGUCACAUGUGAGACAUUCCUCUCCUCACAGCCAGUCCAGUCCAUCAACUCAACAGCUCACACAUGGCCACACAAACACAAAAACACACAGUGUAAGGUGCGUUUCACACGAACCCACACACAUUACCGGGGUGUGUAUGCUGUGCAUGCUG
ensembl:lncRNA